ensembl:lncRNA
AUGUACAACAUCAAUGUGACGUGUGGAGAGAUUGAGACUGAAUACAGACUUCAUGCUGAUUUACUGAACUACACCAAUAAUCCUGACUGUGAUCAGAGCUGGUAUUCACAGGGCAAGCGUCUGUUAGCAGAUCCAUCAGAUCCUCAAACACUGUUUGAUCCUGCUAUUUCUGUCUCGUCUGACCAUCUCUUCACUUCUCACUGUGUGGAUAAAGUUCAUCAUGAGAUCAUCUGUCAUUCUGCUGAAUUAAGAUAUGAGACUAUAUUUAGAGCAAACGCAGAAUUUUUGAAGGAAACUUCAGGGUUUUUGGUCCUUGUAAUUAACGUCAUAGAGGUUUGGAGUGACAUGAAGGAGAUGUUUAAUGGCACAGACUCCAUUAGCAGACCAAGACAAACUCCAGAAUCACAUCAGUUGUGGUGGAUUUCUGCCCUGAUCUUCAUUGUUCUUCUGGUUUUGAUCUGUUUCUUCUUGCGUAAAAGGAUCUCCAAUUGUAUUUCGAGAACAGUUACAAGCAUAUUUCAGCGCAAUGAUUCAGAAAACAGAGAUCCUGAAUCUGGUGUCCAAAUGAAGAUCACUGAAUCAAUCUGAAUCUGAACAGAUCAAUGGCUCCAUGUCCAGAGGAUGAUCAGAAACAUGCAUUGAUUUGAACUCUGAUCAGUCAGGAUGAUUGAUUGUUUUAAUGAUUCACUUUAAUGAAAUGUUUCCUGUGACAAAAUUGUCUGACCAGUCAUUUUUUUGUUAAAUUUGAUUUAUUAGUGAAUGUCUCUGUACAGACAGAUGAAUGUGAUUGAAUAUGUUUUCAGCAGGACUGUAAGUGGAUCAGAAACUGUUUUUACAUUACAGAUUAAAUCGUGAUUAAAUGAUUGUAGCUUUUCCCCAGAUUUCUAUUAGCUUUCAUGAGAUAACCAGUGGAAUGUCACCACAGAGGACUUCUAAAACGCAUCUCUCUCUCUUCAUAUAUACACAUAGAAAGAGUCACGUGGAGAGAUUAAGAGCAUUGUGUUGGGACACAUCAGUCAUUUGUGUUGCAUUAGCUGAAAACAGUGCAUCUGUAGUUCCCAGAAUCUUCAGCCGCUUCAAACUCUCAGAGCAGAUGGUGACCUUCAGAAACCACAGGAAGAAUCGGUAAAGAGAUGUCAGUGAUCGACACUCCUGGACUUUAUGAUACUAUAGCUGUUAUGAUGGAAAUAGUGAAAUACAUAAGACAGGCCACACACUUGAAGAUUCUGAGCCCAAUUUUGAGCCUAAUUUGCACCCCAAGCAAUCAGGGGUAUGGCCCAAUUCGAGGCAAAUUACUUUUUGUCCAAAAAAAAACUUCUGUGGUGACAUUACGAUUAUUUAACUGCUCCCGAUCAAACUCAAAUUGUAAAUAUGCUUGAUAUUUAGGACUCCUGAUCAGGCUGCAUCCUACGUGAUACCUGUGAUAGCCAAUAAGAGUGAGCAAGCAUUGCCUACUGGAUGUUGUGUGCUGCUAUAGCUAAAACAGUAUGGAGAAAGAAGAUCAUCCAGAUUUUUUUUUUGUUCAUAGGAUUAUAAUGUUAAACAUCGGUUGAAACUGUCCGAUGAUUGAUCUCCUUUCACUUGAAGAGAGAUUUACUGUAUACACUGCUCUGUUCUGAUGACAUGAGAAUAAAAAUGACAAAUCAAGUUGAACGCUCUGGAUUUCUCAGAGAAUUACACAAGGCCAUGCAGGAAGGACGUAUGCUCACUUCCUGAGGCCAGGGACGUGCUACAGUGUGUGUGUAAAACUUAGUAAAAAAAAAAGUAGGUCAAGGUGGCAUGAGGAAGUGAGGUUUACAUUUAACCAAUUAUGCAUAAAUUUGGAGAAGGAUUUUAAAGACUCUGUUGAAAGUAAUCUUAACCAUGAAGUGUUUUUUAGAGAGGCUAUGGACUUUACAUUUGGCAAAAUGGAGGAAUCGUGGUGACACUAGAGAGAGAGAUUAUCGUUUUAAGAGGAGAGACAAGAAAUGGGUGAAACAGCUGGAGCAGACAAAGGAUCCAGAAGCCACCAUCUCUCCUCCCACUGUGAUGACCAGCCCACUGCCUCCCACGUCAACCCCUGGCUUUCCUCUGACCAACAAUCCCAGCAUGCAGGUUGAAGACGACACCCUCCAGGGAUUUACCAUCUCUCCCUCUACUCUACCGACCAACCGGAUCGUGGUGUGGGAACACCAGGGCGUGCUGUAUCAGCAGAUCCAGAAUAGGGAUGACAACUACAAGGUCCAGCUCAUCGUCCCUAAGAUCCUGGCCCAGCAGAUGGUACAGCACUUCCAUCUGAGGACAGCAGAGACAUCAUAGGUGUCUAAAGACCCUCCUGGAAAUCCUGAAAGUAGCAUGGUGGUCCACGAUUACCUUUCCAGCACUUUGGAUUAUCACUACUGUGGACUUUUGUAUGUACACCAGUGGACACUUCUGGGACACAUCUAAUCUAAUCUAAUCUAAUCUACAGCAUGAUAGGAUUCUUAAAGACUCUUUUAUGGUAUGGAACUGAAAGUCUCUGUGCUUUUAACAGGGUCGCCGUGAUUUUGCCAAGUAAGACAUGUUCCUGGAUCAACAUCUUUUGAUGAUCCUGGAUCAACAUUAUUGUCCAAAACUAUAGAUUUAGCCCAAUCCCAAUCCCUACCACUAAACCUAACCCUACCCAUAAUUUAUUCCUAAAAUCAGUGUGAAAUGAUAUCUGAUUUACAAGAGUGUAGUACCACCUAACCCUGAUUGUAAGGAUAUUUCCUUAAAGGUUAUAUCUCUAUUCUGAUUGGUUGAUUGGAAUGUUGUUUCAGGAUAAACAAGGAUGUUGAUCCAGGAACAUGUUGUACUUGGUGAAAUCACGCUCACUGCUUUUAACAGCCUAGGUUUUUCUUUUUUACUGUGUUUUUUUUAAGCUGCAUGUUGAAAUUGUAAAUACAGUUUAUUUAUUAAUUUCAUAACUGUUGUACGUCUCGUCUUUUUAAACACCCCAAACAACAUGACUGAUCAACCCCGUGAAAAAGGUGCUUUACAUGCACCACACAUCCAAUCGCUGUUUUGGACUAAGAUCCAUUCAGGUUAUGAAAUUGCCAUCCUGUGAUGAUUUGCUUGUAUUCCUCAACUGUAAGUUACUUUGAAUAAAAGCAUGUGCUAAAUGAAUAAAUGCAAACGUUAAAAAAAACCGUUUGUGUCAAAAUAAGAGCAAUGUGUAUGUAAAUCAAGACAGCGCCGCGUGAGAGUUUGUUCUCAGUUUCUUCAAGAUUUCACACAUAAAACCACAAAACUCAUAUUGGAACAAAAUGUUGAGUUUCACUUCUUGUGAACUGUCCUUUAGAGUAGACAUUAAAUGUGUCUGUGGGGCCACUAAAGUCACAAACUCUGAAAACACAGCCGGAUGGUAGGAGGGACCUGCCACUUGGUGGUAGCCAAUCAGUAUCGACCAAUGUGGCAGCCACCAAUCACACGUAACUGUGACAGAAGUAAAUACUUCAGUAAUGGUGGGGAUUUUUGAAGCGGUUUGAAAAUUAAUGAUUGGUGUAAUGAAUAAUUGUUGCGUUGAAGUUUACUUUUAUGUUAGUGAAUGACUGUAACUUUGCCUACUUUAGUUUAAUUGGUUAACUUUAGUUAAAUUGGUUAAGUAGAAACAGAUGUGUACCAUGUGUUACAUUUAUAAUAAUUGUUGGUCUUAGUACACUAGGGGGAUACCAUUAACUUAAAAAAUAUCUUUUAACCAUUAAAUAUUAACGUGUUAAAAGAUUCUACUGUAUAAUAAAAAAAUAAUGUUUGACUGGAAUAGAAGUUACACAUGCAAUACAUACAAUAU